rnacentral:rRNA from 1 species
GCGGUAUGCUUAACACAUGCAAGUCGAACGGAUGUUUUCGGACAUUAGUGGCGGACGGGUGAGUAACGCGUGAGAAUCUGCCUAUAGGUUGGGGACAACAGAUGGAAACGUCUGCUAAUACCCGAUGUGCCGAGAGGUAAAAGCUUUAGUGCCUGUAGAUGAGCUCGCGUCCGAUUAGCUAGUUGGUUAGGUAAAGGCUGACCAAGGCGACGAUCGGUAGCUGGUCUGAGAGGAUGAUCAGCCACACUGGGACUGAGACACGGCCCAGACUCCUACGGGAGGCAGCAGUGGGGAAUUUUCCGCAAUGGGCGAAAGCCUGACGGAGCAAUACCGCGUGCGGGACGAAGGCUUUUGGGUCGUAAACCGCUUUUGUUAGGGAAGAAGAACUGACGGUACCUAACGAGUCAGCAUCGGCUAACUCCGUGCCAGCAGCCGCGGUAAUACGGGGGAUGCAAGCGUUAUCCGGAAUUAUUGGGCGUAAAGCGUCCGCAGGUGGUUUAUCAAGUCUGCUGUCAAAGCGUGGGGCUUAAUCUCAUAGAGGCAGUGGAAACUGAGAGACUAGAGUACGGUAGGGGUAGCGGGAAUUCCCAGUGUAGCGGUGAAAUGCGUAGAUAUUGGGAAGAACACCAGCGGCGAUGCGCGCUACUGGGUCCGAAACUGACACUCAUGGACGAAGCUAGGGGAGCGAAAGGGAUUAGAUACCUCUGUAGUCCUAGCUGUAA